GGGGUCGUGGCUCAGUGGUAGAGCACUCACCUAGUACGUUUGAGGCCUUGGGUUCAAUUCUCAGCACCACA
rnacentral:tRNA from 1 species